rnacentral:rRNA from 1 species
GACGAACGCUGGCGGCGUGCUUAACACAUGCAAGUCGAGCGGAGCGGCGAACGUGUGAGUAACGCGUGAGUAACUGCCCCCCUCUCUGGGAUAACAGUUGGAAACGGCUGCUAAUACCGGAUAGUGGGGAAUGACUCGCGUCCUAUCAGCUUGUUGGUGGGGUAGUGGCCUACCACGGCGACGACGGGUAGCCGGCCUGAGAGGGCGACCGGCCGAAUUGGGCUGGGAUACGUCCCAAACUCCGACGGGAGGCAGCAGUGGGGAAUAUUGCACAAGGGGGGAAAACCUGAAGCAGCAACGCCGCGGGCGGGAUGAGGGCCUUGGGGUUGUAAACCGCUUUCAGCCAUGACGCGGUAGUGGAAGAAGAAGCACCGGCUAACUACGUGCCAGCAGCCGCGGUAAUUC